GUCUGUUGUCCUACCCAUUCGUUCUCUCCCUACCCUCCAGAGCAGGUUACCCACCAGGCCGCCACCACCACCACUACCGUCGCCCUUCCAUCCGCUGAUGAUGAACACUGAUUGGCAUCGCCCGUCACUACCGAUCGUCUUCCAUCUGCUGCUGCUGAUCAUCGUUGAUUAAAGCGGCCGGCUGAUUCGAAACCAGGUUAGGGUUACUUAUAGGUGUUUCAUUGUUCACGCCAAUCGGAUUGUAUAGAAAGCAUUGAACCUGGUCGAUGAACAGGAAAUUAACGGUAAUGUCGUCAGAUGAACAUCGGUGCGUGAAAUUACAAUUUCGCCAUGUCACCAUUCGAACCCCGUGAAUCGUCGCCGAUGGUCUGCUGGAAGUCGGAUAACCCAUCUAGGGUUCGUCUUCACCCCUGUUGGUGCUAGAUCCGUCCGGAUCUGGUACAUGUAACACCAAUGAAGUGGUUACCGCCGGAAACCCAAGGCCACCAGAACUUCAUCGACUGUCAGAGUAGCAUACGACCAUUGAUCGCCGCUCAUUGCCGCUGCCGGAGCCAUGGCAGGGGCUUAAUCUUCGCCGGCUAGCUUUCAUUGUAGGCGAUCUUAACUUGGAAGUCAUAACAGCAGCGCGCCAGCAGAUUAUAGUCCACUGCAUAAACCACCGGAUACGGACUGCCUUGGUGGCGGCGCUAUUUCAACAUAAAACCCUAGCUGCCGCCUACUCGACGAUGCUGGUGGCUUACUGCAUAGUAUGGCAACUCAACAGUAUGCUACUGAAUUAUCAAUACUAAAGUAGGGUGAUUCAUUGUUGUGCUUAGGGUUUGGUUUUGAUUGUGGUAGUUGAUUGAGGUGGCAGUUAUGAACAGGUCCCGACGAAGCUACAAGGUUAGACCCGAUUGCUUAAUCUGUUUAACCGAUUACAUGUAACCUUUUUAGGUCAGAAAUGAGGUUGGUGGUUGGGCAUCAAGUAUGAUGGUGAUUUCAGUGGUUAGGAGGUGACUGCCGGUGGCAACACAGACCGCCAGCCAUGGUGUUUUAUGGUGAAACUUAAGUUUAAACUAGCUUAAAAACAAUUGAUCAUAAGUUACUUUUCUGGUUUUGAAUUUUGAGCAAGCGUCUUAAAAAUAGAGACUUGUAUUCUGUAAUCUGCAAACAACAGAUGGAUAGUCAUGAUCAUCUGUUGACAAAUGUGAGCAAAUGUCAAAAUUGGGGCUGAUGAUAUGGGAACAAUUGAUUAUAUAUGUUAGUAACCUGCCUAUUAGACCAUGUGUAGUGGUUGUAUGGUUGAUGUUAGUGGGUAAAAAAAUGAGUGUCAGGUCAUUGGAAUGAGUAAAAUUCUGCAGCGACAAUGACAAUAUACAUCUUCACAAAGAUAAAAAUCAGAUUACUGAAGAUUGUUUUGAGGGUUUACAAGUUUAAGGAGUGUCAACCUUCCUACCUUCCAUUGGAACUAUUAAUGUAACAUAAGCAACCUUCUGGAUUCAAGGAUAACAAAGGAGAUGACUUUCAAAUUGAUGGUAAAAGAGAUACCAUUUUGCUUUUACAAUUGGCUUCAAUUUUAAGAUAUUUUUUAAUUUUUAAUUUGUAACACACGCCUUUGUAAAUAAAAUUAUUU
rnacentral:lncRNA from 1 species